rnacentral:tRNA from 1 species
GCGGGAUUAGUUUAACGGCAGAAUGACUCCCUUCCAAGGAGUAGGCACCGGUUCAAUUCCGGUAUCCCGCA